rnacentral:tRNA from 1 species
GCCGGGGUAGCUCAGUUGGCAGAGCAGGCGAUUCGUAGUCGCCCGGGCGGGGGUUCGAUUCCCCCCCUCGGCU